CAAAACCCUUUUUCCUUGCCUCUUGAAGGAUACUUUUAUGUUUGACAGGGAGUCAAGAUCCUGUCAAUACCAGAAGUAAAGGCAUUCUGGCAUAUUUACACUUUGCCAGAGAAGCACAUUCAUUUAAUCUUUAUCAGAAACUGGAGUUGGCUUUCAACAUCAACCUUCCGCAAGAUAUUGCAUGGAUUGGAAACAAGAAGGCAUGCAUAUAGGCAACAAACUUUCAUAGUUGCAUCUUUCCUGUUGAUGUUUACAUUCAGGAUUUCAUUAUUUUAUCAGAUCCUAAAUCUUCUGAAUCAACAUAUAUUAAGGUAUAGUUUCACAAUUUAUUAAUCAAAUAAUUCGUAUAGUUUUUAUGUACCAUAAAUCUAAGAGGCCUACUGUUUUUAAUGUUUUUAUUUAUUUUUGAGGGAGAUUGAGAGCAUGAGUGGGGGAGGUGCAGAGAGAGAGAGAGAGAGAGAGAGAGAGAGGAUCUGAAGCAGGCUUUGUGCUGACAGCAGACAGCCCAAUGUGGGGCUUGAACUCACAAAUGGUAAGAUCAUGACCUGAGCCAAAUUCGACACUUAACCAACUGAGCCAACCAGGCUCCUCCAAGAGGCCCAAUUCAAUAAAUACCCUUGUACCCACA
rnacentral:lncRNA from 1 species